AGUGAACGCUGGCGGUAGGCCUAACACAUGCAAGUCGAACGGCAGCACAGUAAGAGCUUGCUCUUACGGGUGGCGAGUGGCGGACGGGUGAGGAAUACAUCGGAAUCUACUUUUUCGUGGGGGAUAACGUAGGGAAACUUACGAUAAUACCGCAUACGACCUACGGGUGAAAGCAGGAGAUCUUCGGACCUUGCGCGAUUGAAUGAGCCGAUGUCGGAUUAGCUAGUUGGCGGGGUAAAGGCCCACCAAGGCGACGAUACGUAGCUGGUCUGAGAGGAUGAUCAGCCACACUGGAACUGAGACACGGUCCAGACUCCUACGGGAGGCAGCAGUGGGGAAUAUUGGACAAUGGGCGCAAGCCUGAUCCAGCCAUACCGCGUGGGUGAAGAAGGCCUUCGGGUUGUAAAGCCCUGUUGUUGGGAAAGAAAAGCAGCAGGUUAAUACCCCGCUGUUCUGACGGUACCCAAAGAAUAAGUACCGGCUAACUUCGUG
rnacentral:rRNA from 1 species